GCUUCCAUAACUCAAUUGGCUAGAGUACCCAUCUCAUAAAUGGGAGGUUGUAGGAUCAUGCCCUACUGGAAGCACCA
rnacentral:tRNA from 1 species